UUUUCCUAGCUGCUCAGACUGUUGGCUGGAGGGAAGACCUUGUUGGGCGCAGAGGCAGAAGGCUUCCAUUCUUGACAGCAGAGACAACUUAGCACUUGUGAGAAGCCCUAGCAGGCUCCUUCCUCUCCCCCAUAUCUCCCUCCUGCAGCUCCCCCCCCCCACAUCCCAACAGCUUUAAGAGCCGUCAGCUGCGGAUCCCCACCAGAAGACAGAUUGGCUGCAUAGGCAGGUGAAGGCGCAUGGUCCCUUGGGAGUCUGGAACCAGAAAGGAUACUGCUGAGUAGUCAAACCCACAUCCAUUGGACAGAUGGGGCCACUGAGCCCAAUAGAAGGAAGAAACAAUGGACUUUACAGGAGGCCUCUGCCACCUCUCCACUCCACAGCUAACAGCUCCCUGUUCUGGGAUGACCAGCUCAGGAGGACUGUGCCGUGCAAUUGGCUCCCACAGACUCACUCCCCUCACAUGACUGGGGGACCGAGAUCAUAGAGGCCGAGGCUUAUUGCUACUUUUGAAUCUUAUCCCCUCCUCCUUUUCAGAUUUUAAAUAUAUGUGUCAUGGGCAGGAGGGAGAAUCGAAAUCGAAUCGCCCUGUUCAUCGCCGCAGUAUUUUUUUCUUGUCAUUCUCGUAAUAAUAAUAUAGCAAAUUCUGUAGCCUUCCAUUUUCC
ensembl:antisense Gm13257 predicted gene 13257